rnacentral:lncRNA from 1 species
AUUUACAGCCAACAGCAAAGGGCAUCUUUGUCUCUUCCUUUCCAGAAAUAAUCCUGAGGUUCACUCUGAAUGGAAGCCUUUACUCAAGUCACGUGCUCAAGGCAGAGCCAAUCACUGAUUAGCUGGAUGGAAUGUGCUGAUUGGUUUAACAUAGGUUGAGUAUUUGACUCUUGGAGUUGGAGAUGAUAAGUGCUUCCCUUGAACCACCUGCAUCUUCGAAUGUGGUGUUUUAGCUUGGUUUCCUCCUACAGCAGAGCUGGAGACAAGGACUUGCAUGUGUGCAAGCACAUAUGGAAAGCCUGAGGGAUAUAGUCGGCAGCCCAGGAAAGCACAAUGAAGUCAGAAUGGAUCCUGAAGGUAUAUCCACGGCAAAACUUUGCUCUCUGUAACUCUAUUGAAGCUUCAUUGUAGAGACAUGCAGAA